AAAAGGAGAACAAGGGCCGCAGGGGUCCACCUCCCAUCACGAGACUAUCUGUAGCCUGUUGCUUCGGCGUGGCCACGGCCCGCCGGAGACUAACAUUUGAACGCUGUCUGAAGUUUGCAGUCUGAGUUUUUAGUUAAACAAUCGUUAAAACUUUCAACAACGGAUCUCUUGGUUCCGGCAUCGAUGAAGAACGCAGCGAAAUGCGAUAAUUAAUGUGAAUUGCAGAAUUCAGUGAAUCAUCGAGUCUUUGAACGCACAUUGCGCCCCCUGGUAUUCCGGGGGGCAUGCCUGUCCGAGCGUCAUUGCUGCCCUCAAGCACGGCUUGUGUGUUGGGCUUCCGUCCCUGGCAACGGGGACGGGCCCAAAAGGCAGUGGCGGCACCAUGUCUGGUCCUCGAGCGUAUGGGGCUUUGUCACCCGCUCCCGUAGGUCCAGCUGGCAGCUAGCCUCGCAACCAAUCUUUUUAACCAGGUUGACCUCGGAUCAGGUAGGGAUACCCGCUGAACUUAAGCAUAUCAAUAAGCGGAAGGAAAAGACAUAGGCGAGUGCGGGCCAACUAAAUCAAACACACAACAUGUCGAUCGGUACCUGUCUGCUUCAGUUUGGUCAGAUUCUCGCAAACUAACAUUUGAACGCUGUCAGAAGAUUGCAGUCUGUAGUUUUUAGUUAAACAAUCCGAAAUACUUUCCAAUGGCAAUCUUGGAUCCGCAUGAAUAAAGAAGCACGAAAGCGAUACUUAAUGUGAAUUGCACAAUUAGGCAAUCUCAGUCAUUAAAGCAAAUGGCCCUGGUAUUUCUGGGGGCAUGCUGUCAAUCCACUGGUUCCCAGGAGUCGGUGAUUUGGGCUUCUUCUAGCAACGAGAUCGCCGAAAUCACGGGUGACCUCUUGGAUCCCCAGGUAUGGGCUUGUACUAUCCGUAUACCCCUGUAAUACGAGAACUAUACAUAUACCGAU
rnacentral:sRNA from 1 species